CAAGUCGAACGCUUUGUGGUUCAACUGAUUUGAAGAGCUUGCUCAGAUAUGACGAUGGACAUUGCAAAGAGUGGCGAACGGGUGAGUAACACGUGGGAAACCUACCUCUUAGCAGGGGAUAACAUUUGGAAACAGAUGCUAAUACCGUAUAACAAUGACAACCGCAUGGUUGUUAUUUAAAAGAUGGUUCUGCUAUCACUAAGAGAUGGUCCCGCGGUGCAUUAGCUAGUUGGUAAGGUAAUGGCUUACCAAGGCGAUGAUGCAUAGCCGAGUUGAGAGACUGAUCGGCCACAAUGGGACUGAGACACGGCCCAUACUCCUACGGGAGGCAGCAGUAGGGAAUCUUCCACAAUGGGCGAAAGCCUGAUGGAGCAACGCCGCGUGUGUGAUGAAGGGUUUCGGCUCGUAAAACACUGUUGUAAGAGAAGAAUGACAUUGAGAGUAACUGUUCAAUGUGUGACGGUAUCUUACCAGAAAGGAACGGCUAAAUACGUGCCAGCAGCCGCGGUAAUACGUAUGUUCCAAGCGUUAUCCGGAUUUAUUGGGCGUAAAGCGAGCGCAGACGGUUAUUUAAGUCUGAAGUGAAAGCCCUCAGCUCAACUGAGGAAUUGCUUUGGAAACUGGAUGACUUGAGUGCAGUAGAGGAAAGUGGAACUCCAUGUGUAGCGGUGAAAUGCGUAGAUAUAUGGAAGAACACCAGUGGCGAAGGCGGCUUUCUGGACUGUAACUGACGUUGAGGCUCGAAAGUGUGGGUAGCAACAGGAUUAGAUACCCUGGUAGUCCACACCGUAAACGAUGAGUGCUAGGUGUUUGAGGGUUUCCGCCCUUAAGUGCCGCAGCUAACGCAUUAAGCACUCCGCCUGGGGAGUACGACCGCAAGGUUGAAACUCAAAGGAAUUGACGGGGACCCGCACAAGCGGUGGAGCAUGUGGGUUUAAUUUCGAAGCAACGCGAAGAACCCUUACCAGGUCUUGACAUCCCUUUGACACUCCAGAGAUGGGAGCGUUUCCCUUUCGGGGACAAGGUGACAGGUGGUGCAUGAUGUCGUCAGCUCGUGUCGUGAGAAUACUGAGAACACGCCAUACUCUACGGAGCAGCAGUAGGGAUCUCACAUGGCGAAGAUGAGCAACGCCGCGUGUGUGAUGAAGGUUCGGCGGUUAAGUCCCGCAACGAGCGCAACCCUUAUUACUAGUUGCCAGCAUUCAGUUGGGCACUCUAGUGAGACUGCCGGUGACAAACCGGAGGAAGGUGGGGAUGACGUCAAAUCAUCAUGCCCCUUAUGACCUGGGCUACACACGUGCUACAAUGGCGUAUACAACGAGUUGCCAACCCGCGAGGGUGAGCUAAUCUCUUAAAGUACGUCUCAGUUCGGAUUGUAGGCUGCAACUCGCCUACAUGAAGUCGGAAUCGCUAGUAAUCGCGGAUCAGCACGCCGCGGUGA
rnacentral:rRNA from 1 species